rnacentral:rRNA from 1 species
CAGCCGCCGCGGGAAUACAGAGGGUGCAAGCGUUAAUCGGAAUUACUGGGCGUAAAGCGCGCGUAGGUGGUUCGUUAAGUUGGAUGUGAAAUCCCCGGGUUCAACCUGGGAACUGCAUCCAAAACUGGCAAGCUAGAGUAUGGUAGAGGGUGGUGGAAUUUCCUGUGUAGCGGUGAAAUGCGUAGAUAUAGGAAGGAACACCAGUGGCGAAGGCGACCACCUGGACUGAUACUGACACUGAGGUGCGAAAGCGUGGGGAGCAAACAGGAUUAGAUACCCCAGUAGUCCCUGUCUCUUAUAA